AAUUGCAAUUUUAAUUCACUUUAGAGAAAGAAUUUGGGUUUAAUUUAGAUUCUUUUUUUCAAAUUUCUUUUAUAGAGUAGCUUCAACUUUCCUAUGUUCGUUCUCGGCUUUGUGCUUAAUUUACAAGUAUUAUCCACAAAAUAUUUGCUUCUAUUAGACUGUUUAGCCUUAAAUAUUUGUAGCUAUUUGUUACGUUCUUCUAUUUUCUUUCUUUCCUUUGAGGCGAUGAUGACAAGUAGAGGAAAGUGGAAAACAUUUUGGCUUCGAACAAAUGAAAGUUUGGACGGCCUACUCAUAGGCAACCACUUCCUAUUGUUCUUAUCCUCGAUGGCUACUGUUGAUGGCCUUAAUCCUAGAAAAGCUGUAGCUGUUCAUCCUGGGUUUUGGUUCUCACUGUUUGUGCAUUUGUUGCUCUUGGUUAUCAACUGUUCCUGUCACUAUCCUAUACUCAUGACUAUCUGUUAUUCUUAUCCUUGGUGGCUGCUGCUCAUGACCUUAAUGUUUGAAAGCUGUAGCUAUGCGUGUUUGGCUAUGGUUGUCGCAGGUUGUUCAUUAACUGCUCUCGGUACUCCGCUGAUCCUGCCACUACCUUUUACUCAUGCAUCUCUAUAGGUGCUUCUGGUGAUUUAUUCAGUCUUCUCGGAGCAAUGCUGUCGGAGCUUCUCACUAACUGGACCUUAUAACCACACAAGAUUUAUCUUUUCUCUCUCAUUUCCUUUUCGAGGCUCAUGAGUUUUGUACUGCUGCUCGAACCUCAGUUUGCAUAGUUGGAACGGCACAAUCUGCCUCCUGGAAGGAAGGUCCCACAAAGACAUAAGGCUUACCAGUUAAUAUUAUUGGUUGUUGCGCUCACAUUGAUCAUAGUUGGUUUUACUGUUGGGCUGAUAAUACUAUUCCGUUGGGCGGAUGCGAAUGAUCAUUGCCAAUGGUGUCAUUAUGCAGCGUAAGGACAGUCCACUUCAUAAAAUCCAUCGUCAUUUGCAACACACCUGGGCCAACUUUGUGGCAAUCUUUUAUUACAAAGAAUCUUAUUGCGCUUCCUAUACUCUAUUUCUGCAAGCAUGGAAGCAUUAGUUUUUGCUCAGCUUACUGUCAAAACAGCCUUAUUUGCUUUUGUUAUGUAUCUCAGAUAGAAAAAUAUAGUUUCUUAUAAAGUUUUUAUAGUCCUAAUUUGUUUUACCGUGUAAUAUAAUUUGUUGUUGUCUUCAA